AAGCACGCCUGUCAUUCAUCAUUCUCCCCAACUCCCCCCUUUUCCUCCUUCUCUCUUUUCUCUUCUUCCAGCUUCCGCCCACAACCUUCUAUUCAUUUUCUUUCUCAAUUUUCCACAUACGGAUUGGAUCUAAACAUCCUUUUUUCGGAUACCGAAUUCGAUCUUUUCUACUACGUCAAGGCUCUUCUUGGUACUCCAUACCAGUUUCAGGCUGUGGCUUUAGAAAGCCACGUACUGAAGUAAAAACACUAUGUCUGUUUCUAUGAGAGAUUUGGAUCCAGCCUUUCAAGGAGCUGGACAAAAAGCAGGAAUUGAAGUGUGGCGCAUUGAGAACUUUAAGCCAGUGGUCGUUCCACAGUCUUCUUAUGGCAAAUUCUUUACAGGGGAUUCCUAUGUUAUUUUGAAGACUAUUGCUUUGAAAAGUGGUGCCUUACGUCAUGACAUCCAUUAUUGGCUUGGCAAAGAUACAAGUCAGGAUGAAGCGGGAGCAGCAGCCCUGAAGACGGUUGAGCUUGAUGCAGCUCUUGGAGGACGUGCUGUUCAGUAUCGUGAAGUACAAGGACAUGAGACAGAGAGGUUCCUUUCUUACUUUAAACCAUGCAUUAUACCUCAAGAAGGUGGAAUUGCAUCUGGUUUCAAGCAUGCUGAACCUGAGGAGCACAAGAACCGUAUGUUUACUUGCCAAGGAAAGCAUGUAGUUCAUGUAAAAGAGGUUCCUUUUGCUAGAUCCUCACUCAAUCAUGAUGACAUUUUUAUCUUGGAUACCGCGAAUAAGAUAUUCCAGUUUAAUGGUUCCAAUUCAUGUAUUCAAGAAAGGGCUAAAGCACUAGAGGUUGUGCAGCAUAUCAAAGAUACUUAUCAUGAUGGGAAGUGUGACAUAGCUACUGUUGAGGAUGGAAAAUUGAUGUCUGAUGCUGAAACUGGAGAGUUCUGGGGUUUCUUUGGUGGCUUUGCUCCACUUCCGAGAAAAACGGCGACAGAUGAUGCCAAAAAUGCCGAUGCUCUUCCCACUCAGCUCUUCUGUGUCGAGAAGGGGCAGGUUGAACUUGUUGCUGCUGAUUCCUUGAAAAAGGAGUUGCUAGAUACGAGUAAAUGCUAUCUUCUGGAUUGUGGGGCAGAAAUUUAUGUAUGGAUGGGGAGAGGUACUUCUCUUGAUGAAAGAAAAGCUGCAAGUGGAGCUGCAGAAGAAUAUCUUCGUAGCCAGGAUAGGCUAAAAUCUCAUAUAAUACGCGUGAUUGAGAAUUUUGAGACGGUAACUUUUCGAUCAAAAUUUGAGGCCUGGCCUCAAUCAACUGAGGUGGCAGUCUCUGAGGAUGGUAGAGGCAAGGUGGCCGCACUUCUAAAGCGCCAAGGGGUCAAUGUGAGGGGUCUACUUAAAGCUGCUCCUGCAAAGGAGGAACCUCAACCAUAUAUUGAUUGCACUGGACAUUUGCAGGUUUGGCGUGUAAAUGGUCAAGAUAAGACCCUUCUUUCAGUCCCUGAUCAGUCAAAGUUUUAUAGUGGAGAAUGCUAUAUCUUCCAGUAUACAUGUCCUGGAGAAGAUCAAGAUGAAUGCCUUGUAGGGACAUGGUUUGGAAAGCAAAGUGUUGAGGAAGACCGCAAUUCAGCUACCUCACAGGCAAACAAGAUGGUUGAGUCACUCAAGUUUCUGGCUUCUCAGUUGCAAAUUUAUGAAGGAAGCGAACCUAUCCUUUUCUUUGCAAUCUUUCAGAGCUUUCUGGUUCUUAAGGGGGGUCUAAGUGAUGGAUACAAGAAUUUCAUAUCAGGGAAGGAACUUCCUGAUGAAACUUAUAAAGAAGAUGGGGUUGCACUAUUUCGAGUUCAGGGAUCUGGACCUGAAAAUAUGCAAGCAAUCCAAGUUGAACCUGUGGCUUCCUCGUUGAACUCCUCCUAUUGUUACAUACUACACCGUGAUUCUUCUGUAUUUUCAUGGAUCGGAAAUCUUACAACUCCUGAAGUCCAGGAACUUGUUGAGAGGCAACUGGAUGUGAUAAAGCCAAAUAUGCAGUCCAAAUUACAAAAGGAGGGUUCGGAGUCUGAACAGUUUUGGGAAAUUUUAGGUGGAAAAUGUGAAUACCCCAGUCAGAAGAUUGCAAGAGAUGCUGAAAGCGACCCUCAUUUGUUCUCAUGCACAUUUUCAAAAGGAGAUCUGAAGGUCACUGAGAUAUACAACUUCAACCAGGACGAUUUGAUGACGGAAGAUAUAUUUAUCCUUGAUUGUCACUCAAGCAUCUUUGUUUGGGUAGGGCAGCAGGUUGAUCAGAAAAUUAAAACAGAAGCAUUAGUUAUUGGGCAGAAAUUCCUGGAACGUGAUUUUCUUCUCGAGAAAUUAUCUCUUGAAACUCCAAUAUAUAUCAUAACUGAAGGAAGCGAGCCACAGUUCUUCACUCGAUUCUUCACAUGGGAUUCAUCCAAAUCUGCAAUGCAUGGAAACUCAUUCCAGAGGAAGCUAUCUAUACUAAAAAAUGGAGGUCGUCCAACCUUGAAUAAUAUGCUUGUUAUAUUGUUAGAAACCAAAAAGGCGAACACCUGUAUCACAUGGAGGAAGGUCUGUAGCGACCGAAAAACCACAACGUUCGAGAAGUGUGUCUUUUAGCCCUGACAGAGUCCGUGUGAGAGGCAGAUCUCCAGCCUUCAAUGCUCUUGCUUCCACUUUUGAGAAUGCAAAUGCAAGGAAUCUGUCAACUCCUCCUCCUCUCGUAAGGAAACCUUAUCCAAAGUCCGGUGCUACCGAUUCCGCUUCUCGGUCCACCGCUUUAGCAUCUCUAACCGCUACUUUUGAACAACCUCCACGAGAACCUCUCAUGCCUCGUUCUGUGAAACCGAGGCCCAAAUCGCCACCAAAAACUGAUUCGAACUCGAAAGAGAACUUGAUGAGCAGUAAAAUGGAAGCCCUAACGAUACAGGAAGAUGUUAAAGAAAAUGAGGUUGAAGAUGAGGAAGGGCUCACAUUGUACCCAUAUGAACGCCUUACGACCGUGUCCACCAACCCUGCUGCCGAUAUUGAUGUAACCAAGAGAGAGACAUACCUGUCCUCUGCUGAGUUCAGGGAUAAGUUUGGAAUGACCAAAGAAGCUUUCUACAAGCUGCCAAAAUGGAAGCAAAAUAAACUGAAAAUGGCACUUCAGCUGUUCUGAGUUCUAUGCAGCCUAAAUUACAAAAUUUGGGCGGUCCAGUUUUUCGUGUUUUAGUGUGAUAGUGAGAGCAUCGGUGCAUUUUUAGCUGCUUCUGCUCUCAAGAAGCUGGUUUUACGGUGGAUAUGAGAGUUAGAGUGCAAAUUUCGGUUAACUCUACUUUCGUCUUGUAGCUUUAUUCGUCCUUCAUUAUUUAUUUAUUUUUGUGUCGUCGUUUUAUUAUCGUCACAGGGUGGGUGUGAGCUUGCAUAUUUUUGGUUUGUUGUUUGAUUAUUGAUUUCUAAGUGAGGGGUAUUAUUAGAGUUUGCAGAUGCAGACACUUUGUUAGAUUGUAUUCUACUCCCAAGGGUGGAGAUGUGUACAGGACAAGUGAGUGUAAGUUAACAGUAAAAUGUGUGUUUUUAACUGUA